rnacentral:rRNA from 1 species
GACGAACGCUGGCGGCGUGCUCAACGCAUGCAAGUCGAACGAAGAGCGAUGGAAGCUUGCUUCUAUCAAUCUUAGUGGCGAACGGGUGAGUAACGCGUAAUCAACCUGCCCUUCAGAGGGGGACAACAGUUGGAAACGACUGCUAAUACCGCAUACGAUCUAAUCUCGGCAUCGAGGAUAGAUGAAAGGUGGCCUCUACAUGUAAGCUAUCACUGAAGGAGGGGAUUGCGUCUGAUUAGCUAGUUGGAGGGGUAACGGCCCACCAAGGCGAUGAUCAGUAGCCGGUCUGAGAGGAUGAACGGCCACAUUGGGACUGAGACACGGCCCAGACUCCUACGGGAGGCAGCAGUGGGGAAUCUUCCGCAAUGGACGAAAGUCUGUCGGAGCAACGCCGCGUGAGUGAUGACGGCCUUCGGGUUGUAAAGCUCUGUUAAUCGGGACGAAAGGCCUUCUUGCGAAUAGUGAGAAGGAUUGACGGUACCGGAAUAGAAAGCCACGGCUAACUACGUG